CACGUAGGCACCAAGCGUUGUCCGGAUUUAUUGGGCGUAAAGAGCUCGUAGGCGGUUCAGUAAGUCGGGUGUGAAAACUUUGGGCUUAACCCAAAGCGUGCAUCCGAUAAUGCUGUGACCUGAGUUCGGUAGGGGAGUGGGGAAUUCCUAGUGUAGCGGUGAAAUGCGCAGAUAUUAGGAGGAACACCGGUGGCGAAGGCGCCACUCUGGGCCGAAACUGACGCUGAGGAGCGAAAGCAUGGGUAGCAAACAGG
rnacentral:rRNA from 1 species